UCAGAUGGCCGGACGGUCGCUCUGCCGCCGUUUCCGGCGGCGGGGAGGAAAGUCCGGGCUCCACGGAAACACGGUGCCGGAUAACAUCCGGCGGAGGCGACUCCAGGGACAGUGCCACAGAAAGCAAACCGCCCGCGCCGGCGUCUCGACGCCGGCAGGGUAAGGGUGAAAGGGUGCGGUAAGAGCGCACCGCGCCCCUGGCAACAGGGGUGGCAGGGUAAACCCCACCGGGAGCAAGACCAAAUAGGGACGACAUGCCGUCUUGCGGCGGCAGGCCGCGUUUCCGGGCCGUCGUCCGGGUAGGUUGCACGAGGCGUCCGGCAACGGGCGUCCCAGAUGAAUGACCGUCCCCUGCCAUGCAGGGACAGAACCCGGCUUACAGGCCAUCUGACGAA
rnacentral:RNase_P_RNA from 1 species